UACGAAGGGGGCUAGCGUUGUUCGGAAUCACUGGGCGUAAAGGGCGCGUAGGCGGCCGAUCAAGUCGGGGGUGAAAGCCUGUGGCUCAACCACAGAAUUGCCUUCGAUACUGUUUGGCUUGAGACCGGAAGAGGUAAGUGGAACUGCGAGUGUAGAGGUGAAAUUCGUAGAUAUUCGGAAGAACACCAGUGGCGAAGGCGACUCGCUGGACAGGUAUUGACGCUGAGGUGCGAAAGCGUGGGGAGCAAACAGG
rnacentral:rRNA from 1 species